rnacentral:rRNA from 1 species
GUGUCAGCAGCCGCGGUAAUACGUAGGCAGCAAGCGUUGUUCGGAGUUACUGGGCGUAAAGAGUGCGUAGGCGGUGUCGUAAGUUUGGUGUGAAAUCUCCCGGCUUAACUGGGAGGGUGCGCCGAAAACUGCGAGGCUGGAGUGCGGGAGAGGUAAGCGGAAUUCCUGGUGUAGCGGUGAAAUGCGUAGAUAUCAGGAGGAACACCGGUGGUGUAGACGGCUUACUGGACCGCGACUGACGCUGAGGCACGAAAGCGUGGGGAGCAAACAGGAUUAGAUACCCCUGUAGUCC